rnacentral:rRNA from 1 species
GAGUAGCAAUACUUCUGGCGGCGACCGGCGGAAAGGGUGCGUAACGCGUGAGCAACAUUCCCGCAUCUGGGGGAUAAGCACUGGAAACGGUGUCUAAUACCCCAUAACAACAGGGUUCACAUGAACUUUGUUUGAAAGCUGCGACGGAUGCGGAUUGGCUCGCGUGACAUUAGCUAGUCGGCGGGGUAACGGCCCACCGAGGCGACGAUGUCUAGGGGUUCUGAGAGGAAGGUCCCCCACACUGGAACUGAGACACGGUCCAGACUCCUACGGGAGGCAGCAGUGAGGAAUAUUGGUCAAUGGGCGGAAGCCUGAACCAGCCAUGCCGCGUGAAGGAAUAAGGCCCUAUGGGUCGUAAACUUCUUUUGUGGUGGAGCAAUAAGGGCUACGCGUAGUCCGAUGAGAGUACAUCACGAAUAAGCAUCGGCUAACUCCGUGCCAGCAGCCGCGGUAAUACGGAGGAUGCAAGCGUUAUCCGGAUUUAUUGGGUUUAAAGGGUGCGUAGGCUGUGCCGCAAGUCGGGGGUGAAAGCCCGGGGCCCAACCCCGGAACUGCCCUCGAUACUGCGGCGCUGGAGUUCGGAUGCCGUGGGAGGAAUGAGUAGUGUAGCGGUGAAAUGCAUAGAUAUUACUCAGAACACCGAUUGCGAAGGCAUCUCACGAAUCCGACACUGACGCUGAGGCACGAAAGCGUGGGGAUCAAACAGGAUUAGAUACCCUGGUAGUCCACGCAGUAAACGAUGAUGACUAACUGUCGGCGAUAAACAGUCGGUGGCCAAGCGAAAGCGAUAAGUCAUCCACCUGGGGAGUACGUUCGCAAGAAUGAAACUCAAAGGAAUUGACGGGGCCCGCACAAGCGGAGGAACAUGUGGUUUAAUUCGAUGAUACGCGAGGAACCUUACCCGGGCUCGAACGGCUAGUGAACGACCCAGAGAUGGAAGA